rnacentral:piRNA from 1 species
UCUCUUCACAGCAGUAGACUAAGAAGGGGUU